UACGGGGGGAGCAAGCGUUGUUCGGAUUUACUGGGCGUAAAGGGCGCGUAGGCGGCCUGCUAAGUCGAACGUGAAAUCCCCGGGCUCAACCCGGGAACUGCGUCCGAUACUGGUAGGCUUGAAUUCGGGAGAGGGAUGCGGAAUUCCAGGUGUAGCGGUGAAAUGCGUAGAUAUCGGAAGGAACACCGGUGGCGAAAGCGGCGCUCUGGUCCUCUUCUGACGCUGAGGCGCGAAAGCCAGGGGAGCAAACGGG
rnacentral:rRNA from 1 species